UACGGAGGGUGCAAGCGUUGUUCGGAAUUACUGGGCGUAAAGCGCAUGUAGGUGGUUGGAUAAGUCUGUGGUGAAAUCUCUCGGCUCAACCGGGAGCGGUCCACAGAUACUGUCCGGCUUGAGUGUGGGAAGGGAAAGCGGAAUUCCUGGUGUAGCAGUGAAAUGCGUAGAGAUGCGGAGGAACACCGAUGGCGAAGGCAGCCCCCUGGGCUGACACUGACGCUCAGGCACGAAAGCGUGGGGAGCAAAC
rnacentral:rRNA from 1 species